CCCCAUAUGCCGAGAGGUGAAAUGAAAUUCGCCUGAGGAUGAGCUCGCGUCUGAUUAGCUAGUUGGUAGGGUAAAGGCCUACCAAGGCGACGAUCAGUAGCUGGUCUGAGAGGAUGAUCAGCCACACUGGGACUGAGACACGGCCCAGACUCCUACGGGAGGCAGCAGUGGGGAAUUUUCCGCAAUGGGCGAAAGCCUGACGGAGCAACGCCGCGUGAGGGAUGAAGGCCUCUGGGCUGUAAACCUCUUUUAUCAAGGAAGAAGAUCUGACGGUACUUGAUGAAUAAGCCACGGCUAAUUCCGUGCCAGCAGCCGCGGUAAUACGGGAGUGGCAAGCGUUAUCCGGAAUUAUUGGGCGUAAAGCGUCCGCAGGCGGUCUUACAAGUCUGUCGUUAAAGCGUGGAGCUUAACUCCAUUUCAGCGAUGGAAACUGUAAGACUAGAGUGUGGUAGGGGCAGAGGGAAUUCCCGGUGUAGCGGUGAAAUGCGUAGAUAUCGGGAAGAACACCAGUGGCGAAGGCGCUCUGCUGGGCCAUAACUGACGCUCAUGGACGAAAGCCAGGGGAGCGAAAGGGAUUAGAUACCCCUGUAGUCCUGGCCGUAAACGAUGAACACUAGGUGUCGGGGGAAUCGACCCCCUCGGUGUCGUAGCCAACGCGUUAAGUGUUCCGCCUGGGGAGUACGCACGCAAGUGUGAAACUCAAAGGAAUUGACGGGGGCCCGCACAAGCGGUGGAGUAUGUGGUUUAAUUCGAUGCAACGCGAAGAACCUUACCAGGGUUUGACAUCCUGCGAAUCCCUUGGAAACGAGGGAGUGCCUUCGGGAACGCAGUGACAGGUGGUGCAUGGCUGUCGUCAGCUCGUGUCGUGAGAUGUUGGGUUAAGUCCCGCAACGAGCGCAACCCACGUCUUUAGUUGCCAGCAUUUAGUUGGGCACUCUAGAGAGACUGCCGGUGAUAAACCGGAGGAAGGUGUGGAUGACGUCAAGUCAUCAUGCCCCUUACAUCCUGGGCUACACACGUACUACAAUGCUACGGACAAAGGGCAGCAAACUCGCGAGAGCUAGCCAAUCCCAUAAACCGUGGCUCAGUUCAGAUCGUAGGCUGCAACUCGCCUACGUGAAGGAGGAAUCGCUAGUAAUCGCAGGUCAGCAUACUGCGGUGAAUACGUUCCCGGGCCUUGUACACACCGCCCGUCACACCAUGGAAGUUGGCCACGCCCGAAGUCGUUACUCCAACCCUUGUGGAGGAGGAUGCCGAAGGUGGGGCUGAUGACUGGGGUGAAGUCGUAACAAGGUAGCCGUACCGGAAGGUGC
rnacentral:rRNA from 1 species